rnacentral:rRNA from 1 species
CUAUGCGCCUUGCCAGCCCGCUCAGGUGUGCCAGCAGCCGCGGUAAUACGUAGGUGGCAAGCGUUGUCCGGAUUUAUUGGGCGUAAAGCGAGUGCAGGCGGUUCAAUAAGUCUGAUGUGAAAGCCUUCGGCUCAACCGGAGAAUUGCAUCAGAAACUGUUGAACUUGAGUGCAGAAGAGGAGAGUGGAACUCCAUGUGUAGCGGUGGAAUGCGUAGAUAUAUGGAAGAACACCAGUGGCGAAGGCGGCUCUCUGGUCUGCAACUGACGCUGAGGCUCGAAAGCAUGGUAGCGAACAGG